rnacentral:lncRNA from 1 species
AAAGUUUUAUCUUGGCGGGUAAAAAUGAAAAUAUUAUUUACCAAAUUACAAAAAUGAAUUUUGAGAUUUUGAAUGGUUACAACAAAUCUAUCUAUGGAAGUUUUAUUAUUCAUCAAACUUUUAUUAUCUUUUUUAUUAAUUUGAAAACUUUCAUAUUUUUUUUCCAAUUUCUACUAAUAAUAUAAAUACUCACAUUAUGACAUUUCUUUGGAAACCCUAGCCGCUCUCCUUAAACCAUCAAAGACGCUCACUCACGUCAAACCCUCACAAGCCAACAAGCGAGCAGUUGCCGCCGUCUUCAUUCCUACGCCCAUUACGGUCCUAUGUAUCAACAUUUGAAAUUUUGAAUAUUGUUUAUUGCUUCGCAGAAUUAUUUUCUAAUAUCAUUUGGUUUUCUUUUAUACAUGCAGAGACCCUUAUGAUCUAACAGCAUCUGAAAUCUAGCUUUUGAAAAUUGUAAAUUGAUUUAGUUUUGUAUUGGUUUUAUUUGAUGCUAAAAGUUUUUAAAAUUAUUUUCCCGCAAGCUUGUAAAAAGUUCUCAUAUACCUAUUUGGAUGAAUGGAAUUUUUUAUUUGAUUAAUAUUUUUAUGCACUGGAUAAAUUAAUAGGGCAUUGUAAUUUCAUUUACAAACAAAUGCCAACAAACCAUUUAAAAAAUAAUAAAAAUACGCCAAAAUUAUAAUCUUAUGUUAUAACUGCUGGGUUAUAUUUUUUUAAUGCCAUAUUAGUCAUGAUAAAAAUUGAAGAACUCUUUUAGUUGAGUCCUAAAUAAUUGUUUUUCUAGUUAAGUCCUAAAACUUGAAUAACUUAUUUUGGUAAAUGGAAAAUUAUAGGGAUAUUUAAACGAGAAUGAUACUCAAUUAAAAAAAAUAAUGUUAAAAACUAUAAGUUUUUGAAUGGACUAAUGCUAUAUAGUUGAGUAAUGAACAAGAAUUGGCUACCAUCUAAUUCGGUUGUAAAUGAACUUAAUUUUUGCUUAAUUCAUCCUCCAAUUGAGCAAUUCUCUUUAACUUCUUUUAAUCUAUAAAUUGAGUUCUUAUUCUACAGGUAUUCUAUGAUUUCUCCAUCUUGAAAGAGCGAGCAAGCAUUGAAAAGUUGAAAUGAGAGAUUUUUGUAUAUUAUUUUUUUACUUUUUAGUAUAUCUAAAGGUUCAAUUGUACUCUUGGAAUUUGAGUGAAAUUAUUAAUGUGAAACUCCAUUAUUAAGUGCAGACCAAAAUCGUAUCAGUGAAUGUUGUUUCUUAUACCAUAGUGUUAUGUUGUAACACCAUAUUAGUUGGAAUAUCCAUCCAAAUAUAUUAAGCUUUUAAAAAN